GUCUGAGUACGAGCGGCACGGUGGGCAGUGGGAAGAUGAAAUGGCUACAGGCGAUGGGGGCAGCGGGGAGCGAACCCAGAGGUCCAAAAACUGGGAGAUCCGCAGGUUGUGUAGGCGGUGAGACGUAAGAAAGAUAAAAAGAACAGCCAAUGGAGAACUGCACGCGAAUGAUGUAGAGACAGAGUGACGAUAAUGGUUGCAACGAGCCAAUGGGGAGUCCUGCUAUCAGUUCCAGUCUUGUCUUUCCAAAAAGGCCUGAAGCCAGGCUUACAAAGAUGCUGCGGUGGCCAUGCAUUUGAUACCUGGAACUCUUAGCUCUGCAGGAUGCCAGGACACAGUUGGAUACCUGGAACCCUUAAGUCUGCAGGAUACCAGGACACCAAAGGCUGGAACCCUUAGCCUUGCCCUGUCAGAAAAAAAAAAUCUGUGGAGACUGGUCUGUGUUAAGUAGUGCUUGCAGGGAGCAGGUCUUUGCCAAAUCGAGGAAAUGCAGCUGCCAAGUCUUGAAUGCAAACCUUAAAACCUCACAAACAUCAAGCUGCAGAAGAGUCUCCAAGUCCUAGAACUUCCCUGACAUCGAAUCAUAGAAAUUAAAACCCAACACUGUUGGCUUCUGGAAAACUGGUCACUUCAGAGUCCUGUGCUAAGGACCCUGGGAUCUUGAGCAGGCUGCACCUCCAUUUGACCCAUCGGUCUAAUAUAACACAGUCAUGAUGAGAUGGACUUCAAAGGGUGAGAACUGAACACAACUGUUUGUGAGAAGUGUUCGGCUCUGUGUCUGGAAUGUGGAAAAUUCUAGAUAAAUGUUGGCUACCAAAAUUAUUAUGGCUGUUUAAAAUCCUAAACCUUUGCAAACUGGAGCUUUUCUUCUCUUUUGUUCUUUGUGGAUUAUUUUUUUUUCUUUUUUCUUUUUCUUUUUUCUUUUUUUCGGAGCUGGGGACCGAACCCAGGGCCUUGCGGUUGCUAGGCAAGCGCUCUACCACUGAGCUAAAUCCCCAACCCCGUGGAUUAUUUUUUUUUAACACAGAAUCGGGCUAUAUAGCCCCAGGCAGCCUUACAACUCUUGAUUCUUUUGCC
ensembl:lncRNA